AGAAAACAUCACAGUCGUUUUGGUGCAAAUUCCAAAUGACCUCUCCAUUCAUCUACCUGCAGUCUUCCUGCUCUGAUGGGCCCAUCUAGAUAAGAGUCCAUUGAAGCCACAGGUAACCUACUUGGAAAUAAAUUUUACUUUGAUUCCUACUCUUCAUUUAAAGUUAAGAAAUGCAUUUCACAGGAGUUCCUGUUGUGGCUCAGCGGUAAUGAACCCAACGAGUAUCCAUGAAGAUGUGGGUUCAAUCCCUGGCCUCACUCAGAGGGUUAAAGAUCCGGCAUUGCCAUGAGCUGUGGUGUAAGUCACAGAUGUGGCUCAGAUCUGGCGUUACUGUGGCUGUGGUGUAGGCCAACAGUUGCAGCUCCGAUUUGACCCCUAGCUUAGGAAAUUCCCUAUGUUAUGGGUACAGCCCUAAAAAAACAAAAAUAAGAAAAGAAAAGAAAUACAUUUCAGUUACCAACCUCAGGCCAUUUUCUCUUCUCUUUCUGUGCUAGUGAUACCUUCACUUCUGGCAUGUACAAGAAGAAAAUGUCUUUCCAGGAAGGCCUGCUGAGGCUCUUUAUGCUUACAUUGAGCCAUUCGAAGAGCAAGACUCUGAACUCUCCUGGCUACACACAGAGGCACACUGGAAACACAAUAGAAAACGGCUGCCAAUUUAAAAGCAGAAGUUAAGAAGAGCAAACCCAAACAUACGGCAAGAGAGCUUCAAGCUGGACCAGCUCCCAGAAGAAGUGAGCCCUAAAGUCUUGGAUUCUGUUGCAUCUCCUCUCCUCUGUGAAGUGGCAGAAGAUGUCGGCACCUGGGCUUGAACUUGGUCAUUACUGCUUAUUUCCCAGCAUUUUCCAAGCAUCCUAGCUCCUUGGAGUUGUAGUUUUAUCAUCUGUGAAUUGGGAAAUGAAGGUUCUUUACGCUGAGGUCUGAAUGAGACGUGUACAGAAGCACCAAGCAUGGUUCCCGGCGUAUAGUGUUUGUUCAAUGAAUAUGAACUAGCGUGACUAGGACCCCUGCUUGCUUCUUGCCCCUUCUGGUGACUAGUCGUGUGCUCUGGGC
ensembl:lncRNA